GACGAACGCUGGCGGCGUGCUUAACACAUGCAAGUCGAACGGAAAGGCCCUGCUUUUGUUGGGUGCUCGAGUGGCGAACGGGUGAGUAACACGUGAGUAACCUGCCCUUGACUUUGGGAUAACUUCAGGAAACUGGGGCUAAUACCGGAUAGGUGCUCCUGCUGCAUGGUGGGGGUUGGAGAGUUUCGGCGGUUGGGGAUGGACUCGCGGCUUAUCAGCUUGUUGGUGGGGUAGUGGCUUACCAAGGCUUUGACGGGUAGCCGGCCUGAGAGGGUGACCGGCCACAUUGGGACUGAGAUACGGCCCAGACUCCUACGGGAGGCAGCAGUGGGGAAUAUUGCACAAUGGGCGGAAGCCUGAUGCAGCAACGCCGCGUGCGGGAUGACGGCCUUCGGGUUGUAAACCGCUUUCGCCUGUGACGAAGCGUGAGUGACGGUAAUGGGUAAAGAAGCACCGGCUAACUACGUG
rnacentral:rRNA from 1 species